UGGCGAUGUUAUCGUUGACAGGAUCGUUUUACUUUUAGCUGAGCUCAACAAAGGUAGACGGGAACACUCUGCGUAUCUCGUGACACACAUAACGUAAAUGAGCGUCCGCAUGUCGUCGGAAACUGCUUGCUCUCGAGGAUGGCAAAUGAACGGUCAUUCUACACGGAAGAUUAACUCAUAUAUCGGAGCUGGAUUUCGCAGAUUUAUACAGAGAUACCGGCGGAAGUAUCCACUAAGUGCAGCAGAUGUAGACGCGAAUUCUGUCGAGUUCUCGUGUCGGCCUCGGAAGAUGGCAACGUCGAUUGGCGUGAGAUAAAUAUACAGCUCAGAUUUCAUGUGAUCUUAUUAUAGUUCUCGUUACGAUCUAUAUAUUCAAUGUUAAAUACUAAAAUACUAUAUUGCAGAUAUGCAAUAUGCGACGAUAUGCGACGAUUUGGUAUUUGAGGUUUUCAUAAAGUGAUAGCACACACAGAAAAAUACUAUAUUACUGAGAGAACUGCUAAGAAAAGUGAUUACACAGUUUACUUCCCGCAUUUUAAGCAAUAGCUAUCUUCAGUAAGGAAUAUUUUGUUGAUAAUAGCCUUCAAAUAUCACUCAUCACAAAUUUGAGCAAAUUAUCACGUAUUCGAGGGGAGAAUUAAUUCUCUUUACGAGAAUAUCGUAAAAUUUUAUCGAAGAAAAAGUGCGGCUCCAUUAGCAACCGGAGUUUUUAUUUCAAUUUAAUAUUCUUCGCUGAAACACUAAGCUUUCUAGGAUUCGCAAUAUAUUUUGGAUCAAUUUGAUACUUAUGACGAACUUGUUUUACGAGAAUAUUGUAAAAUUUUAUCGAAGAAAAAGUGCGGCUCUAUUAGCAAACGGAGUUUUUAUUUCAAUUUAAUAUUCUUCGCUGAAACACUAAGCUUUCUUGGAUUUGCAAUAUAUUUUGGAUCAAUUUGAUACUUAUGACAAACUUGUUUUACGAGAAUAUCGUAAAACUUUAUCGAAGAAAAAGUGCGGCUCUAUUAGCAAACGGAGUUUUUAUUUCAAUUUAAUAUUCUUCGCUGAAACACUAAGCUUUCUAGAAUUCGUAAUAUAUUUUGGAUCAAUUUGAUACUUAUGACGAACUUGUUUUACGAGAAUAUCGUAAAACAAGUUCGAAGAAAAGUCCUGCUCUAUUAGCAAACGGAGUUUUUAUUUCAAUUUAAUAUUCUUCACUGAAACACUAAGCUUUCUAAGAUUCGCAAUGUAUUUUGAAUCAAUUUGAUACUUAUGACGAACUUGUAAUUUCAGAUACAUAAACUUACGAAAUAUUUAAAAUAAAUGACAUUUAUUUAAAUGCAAUAUACAUUUUCCUGUGUACUCAAUUUCAGUUUUACUAUUAAAAUUGUAUGCGAUAA